rnacentral:rRNA from 1 species
UACGGGGGGGGGCAAGCGUUGUUCGGAAUUACUGGGCGUAAAGGGCGCGUAGGCGGCCUGCCAAGUCGAACGUGAAAUCCCCGAGCUCAACUCGGGAACUGCGUCCGAUACUGACAGGCUUGAAUCCGGGAGAGGGAUGCGGAAUUCCAGGUGUAGCGGUGAAAUGCGUAGAUAUCUGGAGGAACACCGGUGGCGAAGGCGGCAUCCUGGACCGGUAUUGACGCUGAGGCGCGAAAGCUAGGGGAGCAAACGGG